rnacentral:rRNA from 1 species
CCUACGGGGGGCAGCAGUGGGGAAUAUUGCACAAUGGGGGAAACCCUGAUGCAGCGACGCCGCGUGAGUGAAGAAGUAUUUCGGUAUGUAAAGCUCUAUCAGCAGGGAAGAAGAAAGACGGUACCUGACUAAGAAGCCCCGGCUAACUACGUGCCAGCAGCCGCGGUAAUACGUAGGGGGCAAGCGUUAUCCGGAUUCACUGGGUGUAAAGGGAGCGUAGGCGGCGAGACAAGGCUGGAGUGAAAGGCCGGGGCCCAACCCCGGGACUGCUCUGGAAACUGCCUGGAUGGAGGACAGGAGGGGUAGGUGGAAUGCGUAGUGGAGCGGUGAAAUGCGUAGAUAUUAGGAGGAACACCAGUGGCGAAGGCGGCUUACUGGACUGUAACUGACGUUGAGGCUCGAAAGCGUGGGGAGCAAACAGGAUUAGAUACCCUGGUAGUC